rnacentral:rRNA from 1 species
UAGCGAAGGGGGCUAGCGUUGUUCGGAAUCACUGGGCGUAAAGCGCACGCAGGCGGAUCGUUGAAGUCAGGGGUGAAAUCCCGAGGCUCAACCUCGGAACUGCCUUUGAUACUGGCGAUCUUCGAGUCCGGGAGAGGUGAGUGGAACUCCGAGUGUAGAGGUGAAAUUCGUAGAUAUUCGGAAGAACACCAGUGGCGAAGGCGGCUCACUGGCCCGGUACUGACGCUCAUGUGCGAAAGCGUGGGGAGCAAACAGG